GGUUAAUGUUCGGUUACAAAACUUAAGAGGGCAAGAAAAGGUGUAUUGAGCAGAACAAUCAGAAAUAUUCUGUCAGUUGUUUUCAAGAAUAUUUAUAAUUGGAACUUGGAGCCUAUUAUAUAUCAAGCUAAGGACCUAAGUAAAAAGCGAGUAUGGCACGAAUCAAGUUAACCGCUCGGAAGCGGGGGCGAGCUCGGAUAAGGGAAAGGCGCAUCACUCCAGCUGAAGCUGCCAGACAACGAAGAAUAGUAGGAACUCGAGCUGUAGUUGUUCUCUUUUGGUUUCAACCAUUUUUAUAUGUAAUCAUAUUAGUAGUUUGGAUGUAAGUUAGGCGAUCGACCCUGGACUUGUGGGGCGAGAGUCGGAUAUUGUAUAAUAUUAAUAUCUAUGCAAGUGUUGUUUUGAUGUCAAA